rnacentral:misc_RNA from 1 species
GGACUACAGGGGUAUCUAAUCCUGUUUGCUCCCCACGCUUUCGCACCUCAGCGUCAGUAUCUGGCCAGGUAGUCGCCUUCGCCACCGGUAUUCCUCCCGAUAUCUACGAAUUUCACCUCUACACCGGGAAUUCCACUACCCCCUCCAGUACUCAAGCUACCCAGUUUCAAAUGCACUUCCACGGUUGAGCCGCGGGCUUUCACAUCUGACUUAGAUAGCCGCCUACGCGCGCUUUACGCCCAGUAAUUCCGAACAACGCUUGCACCCUCCGUAUUACCGCGGCUGCUGGCACGGAGUUAGCCGGUGCUUCCUUUGAUGGUACCGUCAAGACACUCAGGUAUUAACUAAAUGCCACUUCUUCCCAUCUGACAGGAUUUUACAACCCGAAGGCCUUCAUCAU